UUUGUUUUUCUCACUUUUGUGCACAUUUGACCAUGUUAAGUUGGGGAAAGGAGGGGAGAUUAUGAGACAUCGAUUUUAUUGUGAGCAACACACAUACUUGUAGCAAGAGAGGAGCAGCAGGAGGAGGAAAUUAAAUGUUAAACGUGGAGGAUGAGGCCUCAGUUUCGGAGGUACCUCAGUUGUAUGCGGAGACAGUGUCACAAGCGCCACUCAACUGGGUCCCUUGGGCUCGGGAAGCAAAUCAAUGAAAUGCUGUCUGACGACGUCGGAGAUGGAAGAUAUUUGCAUAGAAGUGCAUCUUUGGUCGAUGCAACUUUUUCUUGAAUGGUUCUUCUAGAAUGUGCUGUAGGGCAGAGACCCAGAAUAGACAAGUCAUCGGGCUGGCAACGAGCAAACUUCCUGUUGCAAUUCUCAGAGCUUUCAGCAUUUUGGGAUUUUGGCAUUUCACCAUAGUAUCGAUCUGAGAGCUUCAUGUGUGACUGAUGUGGGGACUUCUCUUCGAUUUUACUUUACUCAUACGCUACAUCAUCACAGUACCGACGUUAGAACCAGGCAUUGCAGUUUGAAAGUUCCAAAAUCUACAGUUGCGAGUGCAUGUGAAAAGGCUAGAGAAUUCGAGAAAUGAACAUUGAACAACUUGCACACUA